GGAAUAGCUCAGUUGGUAGAGCACGACCUUGCCAAGGUCGGGGUCGCGAGUUCGAGUCUCGUUUCCCGCUCCA
rnacentral:tRNA from 41 species